UACGAAGGGGGCUAGCGUUGUUCGGAAUCACUGGGCGUAAAGCGCACGCAGGCGGAUUGAUAAGUCAGGGGUGAAAUCCCGGAGCUCAACUUCGGAAUUGCCUUUGAUACUGUCUGUCUUGAGUCCGGGAGAGGUGAGUGGAAUUCCUAGUGUAGAGGUGAAAUUCGUAGAUAUUCGGAAGAACACCAGUGGCGAAGGCGACUCACUGGACAUGGUAUUGACGCUGAGGCACGAAGGCCAGGGGAGCAAACGGG
rnacentral:rRNA from 1 species